rnacentral:misc_RNA from 1 species
AGCAGCCGCGGUAAUUCCAGCUCCAAUAGCGUAUAUUAAAGUUGCUGCAGUUAAAAGCUCGUAGUUGAAUUUCGGGACUAAUAUGUCGGUCGUGCCUCGGUACGUACUGGUUUAUUGGUUUCUCCUUUCUGAAGAACCAUGAUGUCAUUUAUUUGGUGUCGUGGGGAAUCAGGACUGUUACUUUGAAAAAUUAGAGUGUUUAAAGCAGGCUCACGCUUGGAUACAUUAGCAUGGAAUAAUGAAAUAGGACGUUUGAUUCUAUUUUGUUGGUUUCUAGGAUCGACGUAAUGAUUAAUAGGGAUAGUUGGGGGCAUUAGUAUUCAAUUGUCAGAGGUGAAAUUCUUGGAUUUAUUGAAGACUAACUACUGCGAAAGCAUUUGCCAAGGAUGUUUUCAUUAAUCAAGAACGAAAGUUAGGGAUCGAAGACGAUCAGAUACCGUCGUAGUCUUAACCAUAAACUAUGCCGACUAGGGAUCGGAUGAUGUUAAUUUUUAAUGUACUCUAUUCGGCGUCCGUUAAC